GGUCGACCAGAGCGCAGGAGAAGAAAGAAAGGGUGAAAAACCCUAGUUCAACAAAUUCAUCAAAUUGAAGCCUGAUUGGAGCCCUAAAUCGAUGCAUGAAUGCAUAGAAACGAUCACCUAAUCAAGGGAUCACAAGUUUGACACCUAGCAAGCUAGAUGGAAGCUUGGGGAUGAAGCGGGUCAAACGGAGCAAGUACGGAAAGAAAAGCGUGGCAUGGAUGCAAGGUAAACUUUAGUAAGCUUACGGAUGAAGAUCAAGCUCGUUGAAGGACCGAACACAAUGCAGUUACAAGCUUCCGCACAUAGUUUAGUCGUUAUUUCUAAACGGCAAAUUUUUACCAAUCAUGAUGUAACGUUAUAAAAUUUAGAAAAGUUUUAAUUAACUUGUAUUCUUAAUUGAUAUGUAAUCAUAAUUACAUGUUUAUU
rnacentral:lncRNA from 1 species